rnacentral:rRNA from 1 species
CGCGUAGGCGGUCUAUUAAGUCUGAUGUGAAAGGUACCGGCUCAACCGGUGAAGUGCAUUGGAAACUGGUAGACUUGAGUAUUGGAGAGGCAAGUGGAAUUCCUAGUGUAGCGGUGAAAUGCGUAGAUAUUAGGAGGAACACCAGUGGCGAAGGCGGCUUGCUGGACAAAUACUGACGCUGAGGUGCGAAAGCGUGGGGAGCGAACA